rnacentral:rRNA from 1 species
UACGGAGGAUGCGAGCGUUAUCCGGAUUUAUUAGGUUUAAAGGGUGUGUAGGCGGAAGACUAAGUCAGUGGUGAAAUCUCACAGCUUAACUGUGAAACUGCCAUAGAUACUGGUUUUCUUGAGUACAGUUGAAGUAGGCGGAAUGUGUAAUGUAGCGGUGAAAUGCUUAGAUAUUACACAGAACACCGAUUGCGAAGGCAGCUUGCUAAGCUGUUACUGACGCUGAUGCACGAAAGCGUGGGGAGCGAACAGG